GGGUACCCAUAAAACCCAUUUUCAUUCAGAUAUCUUGAGGUUAGAGGUCAAAGGACCCCUUUGAAAAUGGCUAUACCAUUUUUUUCCUCGCCAAACUUUUGCGAAAGUUUGGAGCGUUAUUUAGCGUCCUUCGCGACUAGCUAGUAUGACA